GGUCAGAUGUGGAUAAGAGACAGGUGAGUCAUCGAAUCUUUGAACGCACAUUGCGCCCUUUGGUAUUCCGAAGGGCAUGCCUGUUCGAGCGUCAUUAUAACCACUCAAGCCUUUGCUUGGUAUUGGGGUUCGCGGUCUCGCGGCCCCUAAAAUCAGUGGCGGUGCCUGUCGGCUCUACGCGUAGUAAUACUCCUCGCGAUUGAGACCGGUGGGUAGCUUGCCAACAACCCUAAUUUUCUCAGGUUGACCUCGGAUCAGGUAGGGAUACCCGCUGAACUUAAGCAUAUCAAUAAGCGGAGG
rnacentral:misc_RNA from 1 species